AGGGAUUGAAGAAUGCCAAUCCGCAACAACAGUCUGCCCAGAAGAUUUCAAAGAUGUUUUUUCUUGUCCGGGACAUGGUGACCCUGAUGAUUACACCUCUUGCUGUAAGAAAUAUGGAAAUAGCACCUUACCACUGUCUUACAGCUGUUGUCCAGAGGGAGAGUUCUCUUUUCCGCCAUGGGUAUCACCACUGCUGAUAGCAUUAGGUUCUGUUGCCGGAGUUUUACUUUUCUUGUUCUCAAGCUGUUGCUUCUUGGUUUGCAGUCGCAAAGGCAAUACUGUCGGAAAGGGAUAUCACAUGUUUUAAUUGAAGCGCCAACGAAAACACAAAGAAACCUAUUGUAACAUUCUAUAGCUGGACUAAUCUAUUACUUGGAUAUGUGGAUGUGACUUUGUCCAUAAAAAGCCCAGCCUAGGAACUGUCAUUAGCGUAGUUUAUUAUUAGUCUAUUACUAAAAUACAUGGCUGCAACUUUGACCAAGGAAUGCCCAAGCUCCACAAAUGUCAUCAACAGAGCCCUCUGUCUCUCAAUACACGUAUGUGACAAUGUCCAUGGAACACCUUAACUUCACAACUGUCAUCAGCAUAGCCUGAUGUUCACUACACUAUAUGGAUGUGACAAUGUCCAUGGAACACCUUAACUUCCCAACUGUCAUCAGCAUAGCCCGAUGUUCACUACACUAUAUGGAUGUGACAAUGUCCAUGGAACACCUUAACUUCCCAACUGUCAUCAGCAUAGCCUGAUGUUCACUACACUAUAUGGAUGUGACAAUGUCCAUGGAACACCUUAACUUCCCAACUGUCAUCAGCAUAGCCUGAUGUUCACUAAUCUAUAUGGAUGUGACAAUGGUCAUGGAACACCUUAACUUCCCAACUGUCAUCAGCAUAGCCUGAUGUUCACUACACUAUAUGGAUGUGACAAUGUCCAUGGAACACCUUAACUUCCCAACUGUCAUCAGCAUAGCCUGAUGUUCACUACACUAUAUGGAUGUGACAAUGUCCAUGGAACACCUUAACUCCCCAACUGUCAUCAGCAUAGCCGGAUGUUCACUACGCUAUAUGGAUGUGACAAUGUCCAUGGAACACCUUAACUUCCCAACUGUUAUCAGCAUAGCCUGAUGUUCACUACACUACAUGGAUGUGACAAUGUCCAUGGAGCACCUUAACUUCCCAACUGUCAUCAGCAUAGCCCGAUGUUCACUACACUAUAUGGAUGUGACAAUGUCCAUGGAACACCUUAACUUCACAACUGUCAUCAGCAUAGCCUGAUGUUCACUACACUAUAUGGAUGUGACAAUGGACGUGGAUUGCCUAGGCACCUAAACUGUCCUCAGUGGCCUCAUAUCUACUAAACUGACCAUGGGUCUAGAUACAAGGCAAGGCCACGCAUAUAGCUAAAGAGCCAAGACAUGCAUACUUAGGCCCCUCAGUUAUGCGCAUGGCCUCGCAUCUACUCCAAUAUGGAUGUGCCUUUGUUGAUGGAAUCACUCUCCCCCCCCCCCCCCCAACUUUACUGUCAUCAGCCUGGUGAAAGAGUUUACUUCAAUACAAGGAUGAUUACUCCAAUACAACAAAGAACAAAAGCACUAUCAUUGACAUGAUGUCUCGGAUGAAAAGAAUUUGUUAAGAUCAAAUGUGGUUGAUAUAAAUGUAUUUCAAAAUUUUAUCACACAAACAAAAAGAUAGGACUUGGCCAAUGCACAUAGGAUUUUGAUAACAACUGUUAGGUUAAUUUAGUUUUUACAGUAGACAGACAAUACUUUGUAAUGUCAAAUCCCCUCUAGCUCGCUGUCAUACUAUAGCAAUGGCACUCCUAUUACAAACUAGUUAAGCAAUUCAUCUAAAUCUAAGAUUUCGCUCAAAGAAUUUGAAAAACUCCCGAAUCUUACAAGAAUCAGUUGUGUUAGAAUGGGGUAAAAAUAUUACUGGCUAAUGAGCAUAUCAAACUACAUUAUUUUAGAAACUGAUCUCAUAGAAAUCAAAAUCCAACGAUAACGAUGCCUUACUUCGAUCAAGCAAGUAAAAUUAACCACAUUUCGUGGAGUGCACUCUUAUCAGAAAAUAACCUGUUUUUGUCCAAGAAAUAUUGUCACCACAAAUUGUCCUAUUUUCUUGUCAAACUGAGAUUAGUAAAAUGAAUUGUACAGAGUACAUAUGUAUAUGUAUUCAUCAUUUAUCAUUAGUUCUUCAAUUAAUGGACCAUCACA